rnacentral:rRNA from 1 species
CCUACGGGCGGCAGCAGUGAGGAAUAUUGGUCAAUGGACGAGAGUCUGAACCAGCCAAGUAGCGUGAAGGAUGACUGCCCUAUGGGUUGUAAACUUCUUUUAUAUGGGAAUAAAAUGUUCCACGUGUGGGAUUUUGUAUGUACCAUAUGAAUAAGGAUCGGCUAACUCCGUGCCAGCAGCCGCGGUAAUACGGAGGAUCCGAGCGUUAUCCGGAUUUAUUGGGUUUAAAGGGAGCGUAGGUGGAUUGUUAAGUCAGUUGUGAAAGUUUGCGGCUCAACCGUAAAAUUGCAGUUGAAACUGGCAGUCUUGAGUACAGUAGAGGUGGGCGGAAUUAGUGGUGUAGCGGUGAAAUGCUUAGAUAUCACGAAGAACUCCGAUUGCGAAGGCAGUUCACUGGACUGCAACUGACACUGAGGCUCGAAAGUGUGGGUAUCAAACAGGAUUAGAUACCCCAGUAGUC